CCAUAACCAACUGCAGCCUCUGCAACGCUGAAGAGGGCACCUCUGCGCUCUCCUGGAAAGGUGGACUUUUCCAAAGGCUAGCUGACCCGGGCCUGGGUGCCUCCCCCUGCUCCCUGCCUUACAGGUAUUUGCUGAGUCCAGGCUGGAACCCAGGACCAAACACUCCUGUCUGAUUCACGCCCUCUCAGGCUCCAGCGCUUCCUCUUCCCUUGAAUUCUGCCCCUGACUCAUUCUUCUCAGCACGGAAACAGAGCCUUGGGCAUCAAUCAUCAAGGAUAUCCCCUGUCCUCCUGAAGCUACCUCGUUGUCUUCGUUGUCCAAUAGCCAGCAUACAGAGGCUCACAGAACAGGGGCAAGAGGAGAUGCCCAAUUUCGAUGGGAUAGGAAGAAGCUUCAUUGAAACAGUGACAUCUGAGUCCAACCUCGACAGGUAAGUGUUAUUUAGCCGGCCUGAAACUGUGAGGGGUGCAGUAAAAAAGAACAAGGG
rnacentral:lncRNA from 1 species